rfam:Lachnospiraceae bacterium 28-4 genomic scaffold acPFn-supercont1.1, whole genome shotgun sequence.
UUGUGCAGGGAAAUGAGAUUUUCUUAAUAUUCCGUUCAGAGAGCAGCAAUUUGGUGACACGGAUGUCACUAAAAGCCCGCAAUGAGCCCGGACGGCGAAUAGCGGGCGGUUGCGUCCGGUUGAUACCACUUUACCGGAAUAUUUAGAAAAUCCAUUUUCCGAAGCCA